AUGGGCGGAAUGUCUUUCGAUGUGCCUCCUCGCACACAUUCCCAUGAAGAUGCCAUUGAAGAUCUUGCCAACACCGUCGGAGCUUCACGUGAUGCGGUGCGCGAUGAGGAGAGGGAGGAAGAUUCAUCUUCGGAGGCGGAAGAAUCGUCUUCCGAAGAUGAGGACGAGGACGAAGACGACGACGAGGAAUGA
rnacentral:rRNA from 1 species